rnacentral:rRNA from 1 species
UAAAACUUUCAACAACGGAUCUCUUGGCUCUGGCAUCGAUGAAGAACGCAGCGAAAUGCGAUAAGUAAUGUGAAUUGCAGAAUUCAGUGAAUCAUCGAAUCUUUGAACGCACAUUGCGCCCCUUGGUAUUCCGAGGGGCAUGCCUAUUCGAGCGUCA